rnacentral:RNase_P_RNA from 1 species
AGCGGCGGGAGGAAAGUCCGGGCAACAUAGAGCACCAUAUUCUCUAACGGGGAGCUAUCGGCAACGGUAGAGCAUCGUGACAGAAAACAACCGCCGAUAUCCUUAGCGAUGUCGGCAAGGGUGAAAAGGCGGGGUAAGAGCCCACCGGGUACUGUGGCGACACAGUGCGCCGCACGACUUAUGGGUUGCAAUGCCAAGUAUACCGGCAGCAUGUAGGGCGGCUCGUCCGAUGCCGGGGGGUAGGCAGCGCAGAUAAAUGACGAAACAUUCCCGCAGGCCCGGCUUCGGCCGGAAGUAGCGGGAUGACAUAACCCGGCUUACAGCAUCUCCAGUCCG